rnacentral:rRNA from 1 species
UAUUGGACAAUGGGGGCAACCCUGAUCCAGCCAUGCCGCGUGUGUGAAGAAGGUUUUCGGAUUGUAAAGCACUUUCAGUUGGGAGGAAGGGCUUUAGUUUAAUUCCCUGAAGUUUUGACGUUGCCAACAGAAUAAGUACCGGCUAACUCUGUGCCAGUCGCCGCGUUAAUACAGAGGGUGCAAGCGUUAAUCGGAAUUACUGGGCGUACAGCGCGCGUAGGUGGUUCAGUAAGAUGGGUGUGAAAUCCCCGGGCUUAACCGAGGAACUGCUUUCAUAACUGCUGAGCUAGAGUACGGUAGAGGGUAGUGGAAUUUCCUGUGUAGCGGUGAAAUGCGUAGAUAUAGGAAGGAACACCAGUGGCGAAGGCGACUACCUGGACUGAUACUGACACUGAGGUGCGAAAGCGUGGGGAGCAAAC